CUUGAACGCUGGCGGCAGGCCUAACACAUGCAAGUCGAGAGAGCGGCGGACGGGUGAGUAAUGCCUGGGAAUUGCCCAGUCGAGGGGGAUAACAGUUGGAAACGACUGCUAAUACCGCAUACGAUUGGAGUGCUCAGGUGGGAUUAGCUAGUUGGUGAGGUGAUGGCUCACCAAGGCGACGAUCCCUAGCUGGUCUGAGAGUAUGAUCACACAAACUGGAACUGAGAGCCGGUCCAUCCUCUUACGGGAGGCAGCGGGGGGGAAUAUUGCACAGUGGGGGAAACCCGGAGGCAGCAAUGCGAGGUGUGUGAAGAAGGCCUUCGGGUUGUAGGGCUCUUUCAGCGAGGAGGCGUUACUCGCAGACGCAGUACCGGCGAACUCCAUGCCAGCAGCCGCGGUAAUAC
rnacentral:rRNA from 1 species